AACCAGUGAUGUACCGAUUCUGCCAAAUGAAAUAGAAUAUCACUCAUAAAACCGUUCCUUAUUGAUUCUAAUGUU